rnacentral:rRNA from 1 species
GUGCCAGCAGCCGCGGUAAUACGGAGGGGGUUAGCGUUGUUCGGAAUUACUGGGCGUAAAGCGCGCGUAGGCGGAUUGGAAAGUUGGGGGUGAAGUCCCAGGGCUCAACCCUGGAACUGCCUCCAAAACUCCCAGUCUUGAGUUCGAGAGAGGUGAGUGGAAUUCCGAGUGUAGAGGUGAAAUUCGUAGAUAUUCGGAGGAACACCAGUGGCGAAGGCGGCUCACUGGCUCGAUACUGACGCUGAGGUGCGAAAGUGUGGGGAGCAAACAGGAUUAGAUACCCCUGUAGUCC